UACGUAGGGUGCAAGCGUUAAUCGGAAUUACUGGGCGUAAAGCGUGCGUAGACGGUUAUGUAAGUCAGAUGUGAAAGCCCCCGCUCAACCGGGGAAUUGCGCCCUAAACUGGCGAGCUGGAGUGAGAUAGGGGUGUGUGGAACUUCCGGUGGAGCGGUGAAAUGUGUUGAUAUCGGAAGGAACGCCGGUGGCGAAAGCGACACACUGGAUCUUGUCUGACGCUGAGGCACGAAAGCCAGGGAGCGAACGGG
rnacentral:rRNA from 1 species